rnacentral:rRNA from 1 species
GACGAACGCUGGCGGCGUGCCUAAUACAUGCAAGUCGAGCGAAGUUUUUCUGGUGCUUGCACUAGAAAAACUUAGCGGCGAACGGGUGAGUAACACGUAAAGAACCUGCCUCAUAGACUGGGACAACUAUUGGAAACGAUAGCUAAUACCGGAUAACAGUAUUUCUCGCAUGAGAGAUAUUUAAAAGUUGGUUAUGCUAACACUAUGAGAUGGCUUUGCGGUGCAUUAGCUAGUUGGUGGGGUAAAGGCCCACCAAGGCGACGAUGCAUAGCCGACCUGAGAGGGUGAUCGGCCACACUGGGACUGAGACACGGCCCAGACUCCUACGGGAGGCAGCAGUAGGGAAUCUUCCGCAAUGGGCGAAAGCCUGACGGAGCAACGCCGCGUGAGUGAAGAAGGAUUUCGGUUCGUAAAGCUCUGUUGUUAGGGAAGAAUGGAUAUGUAGUAACUAUACAUGUAAGAGACGGUACCUAACCAGAAAGCCACGGCUAACUACGUG